GGCUCUGUGGCGCAAUGGAUAGCGCAUUGGACUUCUAAUUCAAAGUUUGUGGGUUCGAGUCCCACCAGAGUCG
rnacentral:tRNA from 1 species